UACGGGGGGGGCAAGCGUUGUUCGGAAUUACUGGGCGUAAAGGGCGCGUAGGCGGCCUGCUAAGUCGGAUGUGAAAUCCCUCGGCUCAACCGAGGAACUGCAUCCGAUACUGGCGGGCUUGAAUCCGGGGGAGGGAUGUGGAAUUCCAGGUGUAGCGGUGAAAUGCGUAGAUAUCUGGAGGAACACCGGUGGCGAAGGCGGCAUCCUGGACCGGUAUUGACGCUGAGGCACGAAGGCCAGGGGAGCAAACGGG
rnacentral:rRNA from 1 species